ensembl:lncRNA
AUGCACAUAUAUAUAUAUAUAAAUGUGUGUAUAUGUGUCCAUACACACAAUGCAUAUUAUGAAUAUAUAAAUACACACACUUUUGCUAAAUUGGCUGGUGAGUAUUUGAGGGAAAGAUUAUGUUUUAAUAAUCAUUUACUUGGAUGUAAUAUUUAUUAUGAAAUGAAUUGUAUCACUCCAAAAUCUGUGUUGCAGUCCUAACCCCAAAUAUAACUAUAACUUGAUAUAGGGCCUCUAUGAAGAUCGAUACAUUUAAAUGGAUCAGAAAACUGUGUUCUAAUCCUAUAGAACUGGUAUUCUUUUAAGAGGAAGAGACACCAGGAGUGUGUGCACCAAUACAAGCCCAUGUGAGGACACAGGGUUUAGACAGCCAUCUGCAAGCUCAGGAGAGAGGCCUCAGAAAAACUCAAAUGUGCUGAUACCAUCAUCCUAAACUUACAGCCUCCAGAAAUGUGAGAAAAUGAAUUUCUGUUGUUUAAAUCACUCAGUCUGGGGUAUUUUGCUAUAGUACCCCUACAGACUAAUACAGUAUCUUCACAUUAAAUGCUUUCAAUAAAAUAAUUAUUUGACAAUUGUACAUGGAAUUUAUUCAUUGUUUGGGGGUGAUAAAUGGGACUCAUCCUUACACUGAAUAUACUAGUUUGGACUAACCUCUGUUUUAUGUACAGUGUAGUAUUCUGAACCCAGGUCUAGACUCAAAAAUUACUGUGCUGUAGAUGUUGAUCUUAUUUCCACUGGCAUAAAGUUGAGAAUGACUGUAUGCAUGAUCAUAUUUGUCAUUUCUAACCUAUUUUAGAGUCAAUAUGCUUUAAAUAGCCUCCAGUUUAAUAUGAAAAUGAUCUGUUCUUAGAGAUGUCAAUAAAAUAUUGUAGUAAUCUCUGUUCACUUCUGUGUCCAUCAAAAACCUACAAAAAAUCCAGAACCUAAAAUAAUCAAAGUACCAAGUGGACUGCUGGUAAUAGGCUCUGGUGUAUAAAUAUUGGGAAACCAGAAGAGAUUUGGGUGUGCCUUAUUUGCUACAGGUGAUAACCUAUUAUGGUUUUAAUCACCUUUAUCCUACAGAUUUUGAUGAAAAUUAAUAUACUUAUAUUGGAUUUCAUUUGGCUUUAGUGAUAAUAUGAAUAAUAUGAAAAGUUAUAAUAUGCAACUUGAGAGUAAAAAUUUCAUAAAAAUCACACUUAAUGGAAGGAUAGAUUUAGCACGAUGAAGAUCCCAGUUCCAGGCUGGUCUUUCUUUUACUCUCUCCUGAGAUAAUCUGAACUCUUUCACAAAUCAGAUAUUAUUACCCUUAGUGGUUUUUCUUUCUCACGCUAGACUUAUACAUUGAACUUUCUUAGUAACAUUUCUACCUUGAAGUCACAGAGGUAAUUCAAACUUAAUAUUCAACAUCUCUUUAUUACACUUUACUUUGUCUCUUUCCCCCAAUUUUAGAAGAUAGUGCUGGCAUCCAUCUAGAUGCUCAAGUCAAAACCAUUGGUCAUCUUUAAUUUAUCCUCCUUUCUUAUCUGAUUUGUUUCAUUUUUACCUCUCAUUUCUAUUUGAAAGAAAAAACUGAUGAAUGGAUGAAUAUUUUAACAAAAACAUAUCAGUAAUCAACAAGAGAAUGAAUGGAUUAUUUAUAAAGAUUUGAUUAAAUUACCUGGUAGACUUUGAACAAAACAGAGUUAUAGAUAAAUAUACUAACAUGGAAUGGAGUAGGGAAUGAUACAGCUGGAGAAUGAACACAAGUAAGUCAAGGGGUGGGGAACGAGGGAUAGAAAUGAAAAUAAAUUCCUGUAUAGUUUUUAUCAUGAGGAGUGGGGAAACAAACAGAACUGAGGAAAGUUAAAAUUUCAAAGGUUUCAUAUAUUCCUGAAACAUUUCAUAGCAAUUCUUAAAAAUGAGAAAUUGUUGCAAAAAUUUAGUGUCAUCUUAAAAUAUUGCUUUACUGAUAACAUUAGGGCACUGUGACUUUUCAAGUGAUGUUGACUUAUGUGUCAGUAUGAUCAAUCUUACUCACACCGAUCUAUGGCAUUGUUAUGUGUCAGCAUACUUAGCAAAGGUGUGAAACCACAAUUCACAACUGGAAGAAUCUCACAAAGCUGUGUUUUGUUGUUUGUUUUUGUUAAUGUAACUUUAAUAAUUUUGAUCUAAAUAGUAGUUAUUACGAAAGCUUAAGUAUCAUUUAAACCAAGAAUAUGAUGCUUAUGAAUCCAUAAUUGAUUGAACUGAAUUGAAAAUAUUGAAGAAAAAUUACAUUGAAAAUAUUGGGAAAAUCUCCCAGCUUUUCCCUUCUCCAGGAGAUCUUUCCAACUCAGAGACUGAACCCAGGUCUCCUGCAUUGCAGGCAAUUUCUUUACCAACUGAGCUAUGAGGGAAGCCCUUAUGAAUUCAUCAUAGAGCUAUUAAAUCCAGACUUCCCUAUCUAAAAUAAGGCAAAGCAACUCAUAAUCAGAGUGUUGUAUUAAAAAGCUUUUCCUACUUACAAAUAUAUUCUGUCUUGUAAAGCAUACAUUUCAAAUUCCUCUGCCUCCUCCUCUGUAAUCUAAUGUAUUUACUUUAUAGCAUUAUUGUACUUAAAGGUCAGUGUAGCUGAUUAGACAGCCAUCCCUGAAUCGCAACCAUCACCCCUUUCUCUUCUACAUCANNNNNNNNNNNNNNNNNNNNNNNNNNNNNNNNNNNNNNNNNNNNNNNNNGAAGCAGUGAUGUGGAGCAAUUUUAGCGCUAUGAGUUUAUUAGAAAAGACUAGAAAUUGCACCCACAAUUUCCUGACAAUAGUAUUCUUAAGAAAAAUUUCAUACAACAGUGUCUGUCAUCUGACCCUGACCUUCAGACCUAUGGGUUUUAUCUCCAAAAUUUUUACCAGCAUCUCAAAGUCCUAAGUGAUAUUUUUUUUUUCCCCAAGCAUUAAAGCAAGCAUGAACAAAGCAGACUUUUUCCACUUUCAUUCAUAUAAGCAACUGUGGGGAAGUAGAAAGGGCACAGCUACUUUCAAGACCUGGAGCUAAGUGUCAGCACAAUCCUUUCACACCCAUGUACCCUUGUACAAGGAGCCUCAGCGUCUGCACCUGUAUCAUGAAUCUAAUGAGACUCUCUCUUCAGAGAGUUGUUGACAAGGUCAAUAGGAUCAAAAGGGAACCAUGAAAAUGAAAGUGUUUCCGACACUGGAAAUGAAGUGGUGUGCUAUUAAAAGACUACAUAGGUGAGAGUUCUUAGAAUUGUGUCUCUUGGUACUUGAAAGAACAACUUCCUACACCUUCUCUCCAAGACUAAAUAAUCAUCUCAUAACUCCAUACCCAAAGAGGACCUAUUGGAAGGACUAAUUAAAACUGCAGUAUUCAAAUAAAUCUUACAUAUCUUGAUUUAUGUUAAUAAAUAAAAUAAUGAUACAACUUUUAAAUAAAGCAGUGUAG